UAAUAAGAUUUAGAAUGAGAUUCAACAUUCUGAAAAACCUCUGUCUCAUUUCAUGUAAAUUUUGUUUGGGAGUUUACUGAAGAUAUCACUACAACCCCCAAUGGUGUGGUUCUAAUGCUUGUGAUUGGGUCAUAUCAAAUAUUGUGACCUGAGGCUUGGAUUUGGUCUCUUGGUAAUUAUCAUUUUUUCCCACUCUGUCAUUUGCAAGCGAAAUGAUUCCCUCUUAAGGCUUAUUAUAGCAGAAAAAUAAAAAAACCCAUCCCAUUGCUAAUUGUUAUGCUCUUGGGCUGACUAUGUGGAUUAAAUUUGGUUGGGAAUUUAUAAUUGAACCAGAUCUGUGAAUUUUGGAUGACAUUUGAUAUUGGUCUAGAAUAUAAUUUGAAACGUAAAAUUUGUAGCGGUGGUGUUUGUAUAGCUUUUCAGGCAUCAUUUUUGUUAAUGGUGAAAUUAACAAUUGUGAAAAACGUUUUGGGCAAUGAUUCUGAAACCAUAGAAAGUUUUUGAUGAAUGUUUAACAAUGUUUAAAAACUUGGACUGGUGGUUUGACUCGCACCUGUGGGUGACUGACGGAGGUAAAAUCGAAGCAAAAUACAUAUCAAGAGCAGCUGAAUUAUUCCGGCAAUUAUUUUCAAAGGAAGUUGCCAAAAGCUUGACAGAUGAUCUCUCUUCUCCUAGGUCACCCCUUGCUUCUUAGGCAAAUCAGACAGUAAAUGGUCUAUCUCAUGUGAAUUUUACUGGUACGUCCAAAGAAAAUGAGGUUGCUGAUAAACUUGAGGCACCUAAAGUUACUACCUCACCAAAAGCUCCUUCCCAUCCAUUUACUGGUACCAUAAGAACAGCCCAUUGGUGCAAGAAAGGGAAGUAAGACGGGAGGUCUUGGUGCUCAGAAGCUUACUACAGAGGUCGAAUUGUUCUUUAGCUUACAGCAAUGCAAAAUUUUUCCAUUCCUAAAGAUAACUAUUUAACUUUAAUCCUGACUCUUGUCUUGAUUCAUUGGUGGCAUUAUUUGUAGUUAAUGAAUCAACUGGAGAAAGCUAGAAUCUUUAAAGCUGUGAUGUUAUGAUCAUUUUUUUAUCCAAUGCCUAUUCAAUUUGAUGCAGCCAAGUGAAAGUCUUUAUGAUCUGAAGCCAGAAGAACCGGCUCUUGUUGUUAGUUCAUCCACUAAUGCCAGCGCAACACGGUCUUUUGGCUCAUUGUUUCCUUCACGCUUUGAAUAUGUUGAGAGCAUGCAAUCUGCGGAGGCCAAAUCUGGUGGUACGCAAUUACUUAACCAUGUUUCUCCAUUUAAAUCAAGCAGCUUCUUUACGGAUUUUGGAAUGGACAGUGGAAUCAAGAAAAAGCCAAGUUCCACUUGCAUCAAAGUUCAGGUAAAUUCUUUAUUGGCUAUUCUGGUUUGGUAGAUUAUGGGGUUCUUCAUACUUUUGUUGUGCAUAUUUGCAACUUGGUUACCGGGGUGGUUCUUGUCUAUAUAUAGGUUGUUGGAAAAUCUGGGUUCCCUUUCUCCCUCUAUCCCUCCCUCCCUCGCUACACACAUACGUGAUAGAUAAAUAAACCCAUUGAGACACAAAUGUCAUUCUACAAGCUCUCUCUCUCUUUCUCUCUCACUCUCUUUCUCUACACACACAAUUGUCAGUGCACACACACUGUCUUUCACUCUCCCUUCUAAUCAUUAAAUUUCUCUAUAAAUUGAAGUUAGUUUUGUCUUUCAUCUUGUGUUUAGUAAUUGGUCCAAUGCCUUGUGUAGAGCUCGACAUCCAUAUCUAGUGCUGAUCUUUUUGGACAUAACAUGGAUGAUCCUAUCCUUGAUUUGUCUGCUUGUGAUCUCAUCAAUCGGAUUUCAUUCCAAGUACUACUUCAUUAGCCAAACUCAUCUCGAUCGAUACCUUACUGGUCAAAAAGCUAGAAUAUUUGAGAAAGCUAAUGAAACAUAGUUCACAUGGAACAAUUUUUUACUUCUUUUCUUUGUUUUUUGAUUCCUUUGCUGAGCACAAGAGAGAGCAUUAUUUUCUAGAGUUAUUGUUAGCUUGUUUCUAUGUUUUACUUCCUUGUAUAUUUUAGAUCUUUCAACAUUUUCAGAAAAUUCCACAGGCACCAACUUCUAGAUGGUUAUUUUGUAUAUGAAGUUUAAUUUCUAUUUUUUCAACAUGCUUACUGCAAUCUUUGAAUUAUCGGACCCCCCAAAAAACAAAGAUUAGAUGCUAUUGUAAAUAAAUCUAAAGGAUGGUAAUUUGGAAACUACUGUAGUGUUAUAAAUACUUAUGAAUAUUUAUGUUUCCUUAAGUAUUCGUGCUGUCGAUCUACAUAUUAUUCUCCAUCUAUUUAGCAUUCGCAAGGUUUGAUAUGCUCCUCGUUGUGAAUUUGGCUUUGCUCCAAGGAAUAAUUGUAAAGCUCUGCUAUGCACAAAGGCAAAGGUUCGAACUCCCCCCUUAGGGGACAGCAAAGCACUCUUUUAGUUUGAGAGGGCUUCGCAGGAGAAAAAAGCCUUGUAUGCGUGUUUCUAAAGUACAUAUGUUGUUUUCUAAUGCAAAAUCAAUGAAGCCCAACUAAAGUUUUCUAAUGCAAAUUCUAUUUCAUCAGCUCAGUUCUUUGGGGAUCAAAACAAUGCGAGUGAUGCUUCUACCCAAAUCUCCUCGCAAAAGUUCUCAGUAUCCUCUCUCUUUCUCGACCCCUUUUCUCUUUGUGUCUGUGUGUUUGUGCAUGUGUGGUACAUGUGACACACGCAUGCAUGCACCCAUAUCUACAUUCUACACAUUCUUUUAGACAUAUUAAAUAGUGUACACCAUUUAGUGAAAACUGUCCGAGCAUGGUCUACUCCACUAUUCAAGUGUGACAGACUUUUUCUAACUCCACUGAUCAAUUAAGACUUGUGCAUGACCCUUCCAAAAAAAGAAGUUUUUUCGUGAUCUUAAACAAAAUUCCGCAUUUGGAAUUGGCCUUUGUGGGUUUUUUUUUUUGGCUAAAUGAUAUUCUAUUCCCAUGGGAGUAGAAUGUCUAUUAACUUCCUCAGGUACAACCCCACCUAGAAUUAGUUUUAGGACCGCAAAUUUUGGGUAUGUAACCCCUUCAAUCCUCAGACUAAAAAAAAUCUUUAUUACACCCAACUAAUGCUGGACGGAAAAUUUCAAUUUUUUUUUCUGAGAGGAAUCAUGUAUUAGUUCUUAAGUGUUUCCCAAAUUUCAGAUUUUGUUUGACAUUAUUUCAAUGGGCACAAUGACCUCACAAAAUAUGCCCAUAUGAAUACUUGGGCUUGUUUUUCUCCUUUUUAGGCAGGAUUCAAUUGUUUCUAUUAGCGGCAAUAUAAUAUAUCGUGUUUUUUUUCCUUUCCAAUUGGAGCUCUAACAAAUUUGUCUGCAGUAGGAACAGAUAUUAAGCAUUUUUUCCCUUUGAUGACUUUGUCACUGCUCUUUUUGUUACAAUAAUCCUUAGCUUGUGUCUAGACAAUUGUUUCUUUUGAUGUUUACAUUCAUGACUGCAGGUUGAGGAAACAAAGGAAGCCCAACAAAAGUUUUCCAAUGCAAAAUGUUUUUCAUCACCCCAGUUCUUUUUUUUUUCUUCUCUUAAUGUUAAUUUUGGUUGCGUGUUUUACUCGGAGGCUCGAUUGGAGCAGGAUUACUAUGUUAAAGGAUCACAAAAAAAAAUAUCUCAUUUUAUUGUUGCAUUUGCACUUUGAAGGGUUCCUUUUGAUAUUCAACUUGUUUUGUUAUUCUUUUCCUGUAAUUUUGGUUUUUGAUUACUGCAUGUUGGAUGCUGUGUAAUGUUGUUGUUGUUGUUGUAAUAAGAUUUAGAAUGAGAUUCAGGAUUCUGAAAAACCUAUGCGUCCCAUUUCAUGUAAAUUUUGAUUGGGAGUUUACUGGAAAUUUCACUACAACCCCCAAUUGGGUGGUUCUAAUGCUUGUGAUUAUGUCAUAUCAAUUAUUGUGAUGUUUUCCUGAGGCUUGGAUUUGGUCUUUGGUUAUUGUCAUUUUUUUCCACUCUGUAAUUUGUAACCAAAAUGAUCCCACUUAAAGCUUAUUUUAGAUAAAAAACGAAAAGAAUUCAUCCCAUUGCUAAUUGUUAUGUUCUAGAGCAGACUAUGUGGAUUAAAUUUAGUUGGGAAUUUUUAAUUGAACCAGAUCUGUGGAAUUUAGGAUGACAUUUGAUAUUGGUCUAGAAUAUGGGGUUCUUCAAAUGUUUACUUUGCAUAUUUGCAACUUGGUUACAGGGAUGGUACAUGUCUAUAUAUUGGUUGUUGAGAAGUCUUUGUUCUCUCUCUCCCUCUGUCCCUCCCUCCGGAUGCCACACACGCACACAUGAUAGAUAAAUAAACCUUUUGACACAGACAACUGUCAUUCCACAAGCUCUCUCUCUCUCUCUCUGCACACACACAAAUGUCAGUGCACUCAUUCUAUCUUUCACUCUCACUCACUGUCACUAUAACUCUUUGUCUCUCUGUACACUCACAUGAUAGAUAAAUAGAAACAUUGGUGCACGUGUCAGUCCACAAGCAACAAAAAUUUGAUUAAUAUGCACAAUUAUUGUAGGCAAAUUAAGAGUACGAAUUUGGUGUGGGGUUUGAUCACAAAUGGGAGCACUGAGGUAUACGAACUCUUGUGGCUUUAGGUGUCAAAUUUUUCCCAAGUAUAAACUUGGUGAUAAGAAGGUGCAAUAAGAGAACCGCAAUUGCAUGAGGACUGGCAUGUCUUAUAGGAGGUCUUUACUGAAGGUUUCUGUGCCAUUUGGGAUUCAUUUAGGGAUUAGUUGAGAGGCAGACUGUUUGUCAUAUAGCAGUGACCAAUGUUUGAGAGUGACAUGUGGGCACCAAUGUGUUUUUGGGAACCUGAGUCAGAGCAUUCACAAUAUCUGUGCCACGAAGAGGCACUUUUGCUCCCAUAUGUUGUCCACUAGAUGCAUGAUCCAUGUUGGGCUCUUUUUGUACUGUUUUGGGUUUUGGAUAUGUGUUGAUACCGUCAUUUAGGUACCUGCAAAAAGUGGCAAGAUGUUAUAAUUGCUGGUGCUGGUGCAAUUUCUGGGUUUGUGCUGGUGCACCCAUUUUUGCAUGGCCACGGGUGUGCUUUCAGCCUUUGUCUACAAUCGAUAUAAUAUUUUUAAAAGCAUUUAGUGGAUUCCUUGGUAAUGGCAGGUCCAAAUAUUGAUAUGUAUGGAUUUCAUUUCAUCUCUUUCAUUAAGCAUCUAGAGCCUUUAUCUUGCACGAUGAUUCCAUGACAUGGGUUACAAGUUGACAGAAGUGCAAAUUAUUUCUGAAAGAACUCCUCCUGGCUCUAAAGAAUAGUUCUCCCAAUGGAGUGAAUUGAUGAGGUUAGGAAGUCAAACCUCCAUAAUCUGUAGUCUGAGAAACGGUCGUUAUACAAACAUAUACUAGUUCUCCAUUCCAAAUACCUGGCUUGAGAAGGGCUUGUUAUACCUGAUGCUCAUCAUAUUGGAGAAUGGCUAUCAUACUGUUGCCUUUGGAAACACCGCUUAGCCCUGCUUGUGCUUGCUUAGAAGCUAUUGAUUAGGUCCAUUGUUAUUCGAUUUCCAUUUUGCCACACAGAUUCAAUUUUAGGUUCCCCAACGACAAAGAUCAGAAUGUCUUUUACAUUCAAUGGGAGUUGAAUAUCCUUUUCUUUUGAUUACAAGAAGAAGAAUUUGGGUUUUUGAGGAUGUGGUUUCUUUUGAUUUAAGAAGAACACAAUGAUCAUGAACACGACAGUUGAAAGUGGAAAAAAUGAUUCUUUGAGGAGAUGGGCUUGUAAGUUAAUAGAACUUGGAUCGAUUUGGGAUGGUGGACACUAAGAAGGGAUUUGACUGUGGAUUAGAGUUGAAAAGAUGAUGGUAUACUUUGAACUUGAAGAAGGGAAAGUUGCAGGGAGCUUUUGCAUAAAUGACUCUUUUGUUGGGAAAGUUGUAGGGAGCUUUUGCACUAAUGCUCUUUUGCAGGCUUCCAUAUCAUGCUUUAACCCAACAUCUGUUUAUUGAAUGAAAUACCCAAAAUGCAAUCUAAUCCCAUUCAUCUACCCAUUUCGUUCUCUCUCAUCCAUUGAGUACUUGAANNNNNNNNNNNNNNNNNNNNNNNNNNNNNNNNNNNNNNNNNNNNNNNNNNNNNNNNNNNNNNNNNNNNNNNNNNNNNNNNNNNNNNNNNNNNNNNNNNNNNNNNNNNNNNNNNNNNNNNNNNNNNNNNNNNNNNNNNNNNNNNNNNNNNNNNNNNNNNNNNNNNNNNNNNNNNNNNNNNNNNNNNNNNNNNNNNNNNNNNNNNNNNNNNNNNNNNNNNNNNNNNNNNNNNNNNNNNNNNNNNNNNNNNNNNNNNNNNNNNNNNNNNNNNNNNNNNNNNNNNNNNNNNNNNNNNNNNNNNNNNNNNNNNNNNNNNNNNNNNNNNNNNNNNNNNNNNNNNNNNNNNNNNNNNNNNNNNNNNNNNNNNNNNNNNNNNNNNNNNNNNNNNNNNNNNNNNNNNNNNNNNNNNNNGAGAGAGAGAGAGGGAGUGAAACCCAAAUUAUAGAGAGUGCGUGGGAGAGACCCAAUUAUAGAGAAGGAAGAUAAAAGAGGCAGGGAGAAGGGUGGGAAGGUAGAUAGUUUUUUCACUUGUGGGCAUUGUGCGGAUUCAAGUUUUUUAUUUCGCCUUACUCAGAAGAUGAGCCUAUGGAUUAGCUUAUUCUGUGAGUUAGGUCUGCCUGAAAAUUGUUGUAGAAAGAUAUUUGGGCAGCUGAGAUUUGAUUUCCAUUCAAAAUUUUGGCUGAUUCCAAACUGGGAGGGUGGCAUGAAAUCUUACGGUUCCUUCAAAUGACACAAUCUUAUGGGUUUCUCCAAAUGAGGAAUCAGACAGCCCCUCUCUUGUUUUGUCUAUAUAGAGGGAAAGAAACGGUCUAGGGAUUUACGGGAAUAAACGAAAAUUAUUGGGUUUGUGUAGAAAAAAAUGAGUCAUUUCAUUGGAGUUGGUAUGGAAGGUGGUGAUUAUAGGUUUAACUGGGUGGUGGGGCCGUAUGUAGCUUUCGGGAUAAGGUGUUUUUUGACACCAGAGUUUAUAGUGUAAAUUUCCCUAAGAGAAGGUGGUCAUUUUAAACUUGUUACCAUCUUGCCAGUGUUAUUUAGCUUGAAUGUCUCUCAAAUUUUUGAAUCAGAGUGAAUAUUCACUUUUAACUAGCUGACUAUAGAUAUCAAUAUUAUUUUUUAAAUUUUCUUAUACAUUUUAUUGUUAUAUUAUUUUCUUUAAAUAUUUUCACUGGCCUGAACUUAUGUGAUUUCUCUAGAUUUUUUGUAGUAUCUGUCAUUGGGUUAGGCGCAUGUCCUAUCAUUGUAACUUGUAAUUUGGCUGCAUCACGGUUCACUCACAAAGUUAAGUCUAAACAUGAAGAUGGCUUUGAGCCCAAGUCACAAGUCUUAGAAGUCUGCUUUGAAGAUGUUGGCAUUUUUACUGAUCCACGUGGCUAUGCUCAGACUUCUCUACGUAGGUUGAUGCUAAUGAGUAGAUCCUACAUAUGGAAUUCAUCUAUAGAAAAUGAUGAGAAUUUCUUAAAAUUAAUAUAUAUAUUAUAAAGCGUAAUGAUCCUAUGAGACCGUCCCACACUCAUGUGUGUAGGACCCCAAAGGAUCACCAUUAAAUUUUGUAAAGAUCUCUAAAAACGUCAAGUCCCACACCAUAUGAUAACUUUUCUAGAGAUCUGUGCCAAAUUUAAUGGUGAUCCUUUGGGGUCCAACACACAUAGAUGUGUGAGGGUCUCAUAGGAUCAUUACUCAUAUAUAUAUAUAUAUAUAAAGACAUAAUUUUUAAACUUAGAGGCAUUUAUGAUAUUCGUAGCUUAAGUGUUUUAAGAUUUUUAUUUAUCAAUCUCUGUUCUUUACAUUAGUUGGCAAUGUUUUUUUUGUUAACUCAAUGACAAUACUUUGGGGCCAUGGGUGAAAUUCGUCGACUACCAGAGAUUUGUCGAUUUUCCUUGAGACUCUCUUCGUUUCAUUUUAAUUCUUCAUAAUUUUGCUGACCUUAUGGAUUGGUGUUUCUUUUCAAAAUUUUAAGCCAAAGAGUUUUCAUGACUCGGUUUUUAAUAUAUCAUUAUUUCCUUUUCAGUUCUUUGUAUUAUUGACUCGACUUGGGGGGCAGGGGUGAAAUCCGUAGAUCCCCAUUAACUGGUCAAUUUUCCUACUGAUUUUAUAUAUUUGAUUUGAACUUAUCCACUAUUUGUUUAAUCGUUUAGUUGAUACGUUUUACAAAUUUUAAGCCACAAUGAUAUUCAUGGUCGAGAUUUUUCACUUACCCUUUUUUUUGUCGUGGUUCUUUGCAUUGUCUCGCGCUAGGAUAUUCAUAGCUUAAGUGUUUUAAGAUUUCCAUUUAUCGAUCUCUGUUCAUUAUUUUAUUUUGCAAUAGUUUUGUUUUAACUCAAUGAUGAUACUUCGGGCAUAGGUGUGAAAUUCGUCGACCUCCAGAGAUUUGUCGAUUUUCCUAGCGACUUUCUUUAUUUCAUUUUAAAUUACUCAUAAUUUUGCUGACUUUAUGGAUUGGUGUUUCUUUUAAAAAUUUUAAGCCAAAGAGUAUUCAUUAGUAGGUUUUUUCUGUAUCAUGGUUUCCUUCUCGGUUCUUUUUAUUAUUGACUCGACUUUGGAGGCAGGGGUGAAAUCCGUAGAUCCCCAUGAACUGGUCAAUUUUCCUUUUGAUUUUCUUUGUUUGAUUUGAAAUUAUCCACAAUUUGUUUAAUCUUUUAGUUCAUAUUCAUUUUUAAAAAUUUUAGGUCAAAAAGUAAUUCGUGGUUGAGAUUUUUAACAUAUCGUUUUGUUUGUCAUGGUUCUUUGCAUUGUCUGGCUCGAGGAUAUUCGUGGCCAAGUGUUCUAAAAUUUCAUUUUAUCCAUUUUUUUUCUUUGCAUUAUUUGGCAAUAUUUUUGUUUUAACUCCAUGACUAGACUUUGGGGCUAGAGGUGAUGAAAUCCGUCGACCCCCAGAGAAUUUUCUAAUUUCCUAUAAGCUUUUUUUUAUUUCAUUUUAAAUUCCUCAUAACUUUGCUGACUUUAUGGAUCAAUGUUUAUUUUCCUGACAAGGGUUUUUAAUGUAUCUUUGUUUUCGUCUCAGUUGUUUGUAAUAUUGACUCAACUUUGGUGGUUGUGGUGAAUUUUGUAGAUCGCCAUUAACUGGUUAUAUUUCCUAAUGAUUUUCGUUGUUUUAUUUGGAAUUAUCCACAGUUUGUUUAAUCUUUUAGUUGAUUAAUCUUUUUGAAAAUGUUGGGUCAAAAAGUAAUUCGUGGUUGAGAUUUUUUGCAUAUCUUUUUGUUUGUUGUGGUUCUUUGCAUUGUUUGGGUCUAGGAUAUUCGUGGCUUAGUGUUUUAAAAUUUCCAUUUAUCCAUCUUGUUAUUUGCAUUAUUUGGCAAUAUUUUUGUUUUAACUCAAUGACAAGACUUUGGGGCCAAGGGUGAAAUCUGUCGACCCCCAAGGAUUUGUCGAAUUGCCUAUGUACUUUUUUUGGUUCAUUUUAAAUUCCUCAUAAUGAUCGGUAUUUCUUUUCAAAAUUUUUAGCCAAAGAGUAUUCAUGACUCGGUUUUUAGUGUAUCAUUAUUUCCUUUUUAGUUCUUUGUAUUAUUGACUCGACUUGGGGGGCAGGGGUGAAAUCCAUAGAUCUCCAUUAACUGAUUUUCUAUGUUUGAUUCGAACUUAUCCACUAUUUUUUAAUCUUUUAGCUGAUGCUUUUUAAAAAUUUUUAGCCACAAUGAUAUACGUGGUCGAGAUUUUUAACUUACCCUUUUUUUUGUCGUGGUUCUUUUCAUUGUCUCGUACUUGGAUAUUCGUAGCUUAAGCAUUUUAAGAUUUCCAUUCAUGGAUCUCUGUUCAUUAUUUUAUUUAGCAAUAGUUUUGUUUCAACUCAAUGACGAUACUUCGGGGCUAGGGGUGAAAUUCGUCGACCUCCAGAUAUUUGUCUAUUUUCCUGGCGACUUUCUUUAUUUCAUUUUAAAUUACUCAUAAUUUUGCUGACUUUAUGGAUUGGUGUUUCUUUUAAAAUUUUUGAGCCAAAGAGUAUUCAUUACUAGGUUUUUAUUGUAUCAUUGUUUCCUUCUCGGUUCUUUGUAUUAUUGACUCGACUUUGGGGGCAGGGGUGAAAUCCGUAGAUCCCCAUUAACUGGUCAAUUUUCCUACUGAUUUUCUUUGUUUGAUUUGAAAUUAUACACAAUUGUUUAAUCUUUUAGUUGAUAUUCAUUUUUAAAAGUUUUAGGUCAAAAAGUAAUUCGUGGUUGAGAUUUUUAAUGUACUGUUUUGUUUGUUAGGGUUCUUUGCAUUGUCUGGCUCUAGGAUAUUCGUGGCUAAGUGUUUUAAAAUUUCCUUUUAUCCAUCCUUUUUCUUUGCAUUAUUUGGUUUGUGAUUACUGCAUGUUGGAUGCUGUGUAAUGUUAUUGUUGUUGUUGUAGUAAGAUUUAGAAUGAGAUUCAGGAUUCUGAAAAACCUAUGUCUCAUUUCAUGUAAAUUUUGUUUGGGAGUUUACUGUAGAUUUCACUACAACCCCCAAUUGUGUGGUUCUAAUGCUUGUGAUUGGGUUAUAUCAAAUAUUGUGACCUGAGGCUUGGAUUUGGUCCUUUGGUAAUUAUCAUUUUUUCCCACUCUGUCAUUUGCAAGCAAAAUGAUUCCCUCUUAAAGCUUAUUAUAGAAAAAAAAUAAAAAAACUUAUCCCUUUGCUAAUUGUUAUGCUCUAGGACCGCGACUAUGUGGAUUAAAUUUGGUUGGGAAUUUAUAAUUGAAUCAGAUCUGUGAAUUUAGGAUGACAUUUGAUAUUGGUCUAGAAUAUAAUUUGAAAAGUGAAAUUUUUAGCGGUGGUGUUUGUAUUGCUUUUCAGGCAUCAUUUUUGUUAAUGGUGAAAUUAACAAUUGUGAAAAACGUUUUGGGCAAUGAUUCUGAAACCACAGAAAGUUUUUGAUGAAUGUUUUACAAUGUUUAAAAACUUGGACUAGUGGUUUGACUUGCACCUGUGGGUGAAUGACGGAGGCAAAAUCGAAGCAAAAUACACAUCAAGAGCAGCUGAAUUAUACCGGCAAUUAUUUUCAAAGGAAGUUGCCAAAAGCUUGACAGAUGAUCUCUCUUCCCCUAGAUGACCCGUUGCUUUUCAGGCAAAUCAGAUAGUAAAUGGUCUAUCUCAUGUGAAUUUUACUGGUACGUCCAAAGAAAAUGUGGUUAAACAUGAGGCACCUAAAGUUACUACAUCACCAAAAGCUCCUUCCCAUCCAGUUCCCGGUACCAUAAAAAAGCCCAUUGGUGCAAGAAAGGGACGUAAGACGGGAGGUCUUGGUGCCCAAAAGCUUACUACAAAGGUCGAAUUGUUCUUUAGCUUACAGUAAUGCAAAAUUUUUCCAUUCCUAAAGAUGACUAUUUAACUUUAAUCCUGACUCUUGUCUUGAUUCAUUGCAUUAUUUGUAGUUAAUGAAUCAACUGGAGAAAGCUAGAAUCUUUAAAGCUGUGGUGUUAUGACCAUUUUUUUGUCUAAUGCCUAUUCAAUUUGAUGCAGCCAAGUUAAAGUCUUUUUGAUCAGAAGCCAGAAUAACCAGCUCUUGUUGUUAGUUCAUCCACUAAUGCCAGCCAACACCGUCUUUUGGCACAUUGUUUCCUUCACGCUUUGAAUAUGUUGAGAGCACGCAAUCUGCGGAGGCCAAUUCUGGUUGUAGGUAACCAUGUUUCUCCACUUAACUCAAGCAGCUUCUUUACUGAUUUUGGAAUGGACAGUGGAAUCAAGAAAAAGCCAAGUUCCACUUACCCCACAGUUCAAGUAAUUCUUUAUUGGCUAUUCAGGUUUGGUAGAUUAUGGGGUUCUUCAUACUUUUACUGUGCAUAUUUGCAACUUGGUUACCGGGAUGGUGCAUGUCUAUAUAUAGGUUGUUGAAAUAUCUUGGUUCCCUUUCUUCCUCUAUCCCUCCCUCUUUCGCUACACACACAUACGUGAUAGAUAACUAAACCCAUUGACACACACGUCAUUCUACAAGCUCUCUCUCUCUUUCUCUCUCACUCUCUCUUUCUACACACACAAUUGUCAGCGCACACGCUUUGUCUUUCACUCUCCCUUCUAAUCACUAAAUUUCUCUAUAAGUUGAAGUUAGUUUUGUCUUUCAUCUUGUGUUUAGUAAUUGGUCCUGUGUUUUGUGUAGAGCUCGACAUAUCUAGUGCUUAUCUUUUUUGACAUAACAUGGAUGAUCCUAUCCUUGAUAUGUCUGCUUGUGAUCUCAUCACUCGGAUUUUAUUCCAUGUACUACUUCAUUUGCCAAACUCAUCUUGAUCGAUACCUUACUCGUCAAAAAGCUAGAAUAUUUGAGAAAGCUAAUGAAACAUAGUUCACAUGGAACAAUUUUUUUCUUCUUUUCUUUGUUUAUUCCUUUGCUGAGCACAAGAGAAAGCAUUAUUUUCUAGAGUUAUUAUUUGCCUUUUUCUAUGUUUUACUGCCUUUUAUAUUGUAGAUCUUUCAACAUUUUCAGAAAAUUCCACAGGCACCAACUUCUAGAUGGUUAUUUUGUAUAUGAAGUUUAAUUGCAGAAACAAUCGGGUGGCUUCUUCCCUCAGGCAUCAUCAUUGAACCUUGUCCCGACUACUUGGGGUUGGCUAGUUUCUUCACUCAAUGAAUGUUAAUUUCUAUUUUUUCAACAUGCUCACUGCAAUCUUUGAAUUAUCUGGCCCCCCAAAAAACAAAGAUUAGAUGCUAUUGUAAAUAAAUCUGAAGGAUGGUAAUUUGGAAACUACUGUUGUGUUAUAAUUGCUUCUGAAUUAUGAAUAUUUAUCUUUCCUUAAGUAUUCAUGCUGUCAAUCUACAUAUUAUUCUCCAACUAUUUAGCAUUAGCAAGGUUUGAUAUGCUCCUCAUUGUGAAUUUGGUUUUGCUCCAAGGAAUAAUUGUAAAACUCUGCUAUGCACAAAGGCAAAGCUUCGAACUCCCCCCUUAGGGGGCAGCAAAGCACUCUUUUUGUUUGAGAGUGCUUCGCAAGAGAAAAAAGCUUUGUAUGCGUGUUUGUAAAGUAUAUAUAUUGUUUUUUAAUGCCAUGUCACUGAAGCCCAACUAAAGUUUUCUAAUGCAAAAUCUAUUUCAGCAGCUUAGUUCUUUGGGGAUCAAAACAAUGCCAGUGAUGCUUCUGCACAAAUCUCCCAGUGAUGCUUCUGCCCAAAUCUCCUCGCAAAAGUUCUCAGUAUCCUCUCUCUUUCUCGAUCCCUUUUCUCUGUAUGUGUUUCUGUGUGUUUGUGCAUGUGUAGUACAUAUCUCACACACGCAUGCAUACACCCAUUUCUACAUUCUACACAUUCAUAUAGGCGUAUUAAAUAGCGUACACCAUUUGGUGAAAACUGUCCGAGCAUGGUCUACUCCACAAUUCAAGUGUGACAGACUUUUGUAACUCCCCUGAUCAACUAAGACUUGUCCUUGACCCUUCCAAAAAAAAAAAGUUUUUUCUUGAUCUUAAGCAAAACUCCCCAUUUGGAAUUGGCCUUUGUGGGUUUUUUUUUUUGGCUAAAUGAUAUUCUAUUCCCGUGGGAGUAGAAUGUCUAUUAACUUCCUCAGGUACAGCCCCACCUAGAAUUAGUUUUCGGACUGCAAGUUUUGGGUAUGUAACCCCUUCAAUCCAUAGACUAAAAAAAAUCUUUAUUACACCCGACUAAGCUGGGCGGCAAAUUUCAAUUUUUUUUCCGUGAAGAAUCAUGUAUUAAUUCUUAAGUGUUUCCCAAAUUUCAGAUUUUGUUUGACAUUAUUUCAAUGGGCACAAUGACCACACAAAAUAUGCCCAUAUGAAUACUUGGCUUGUUUUUCUACUUUUUGGGCAGCAUUCAAAUGUUUCUAUUAGCGGCAAUAUAAUAUAUUGUGUUUUUUUUCCUCUCCACUUGGAGUUCUAACAAUUUUGUCUGCAGUAGGAACAAAUAUUAAGCAUUUUUUCCCUUGGAUGACUUUGUCACUGCUCUUUUUGUUACAGUAAUCCUUAGCAUGUGUCUAGACAAUUCUUUUUGAUGUUUACAUUCAUGACUGCCGGUUGAGGAAACAAAGGAAGCCCAACAAAAGUUUUCGAAUGUAAAAUGUAUUUCAUCCGCCCAGUUCUUUUUUUUUCUUCUCUUAAUGUUAAUUUUGGUUGCAUGUUUUACUUGGAGGCUCGAUUGGAGCAGGAUUACUAUGUUAAAGGAUCACAAAAAAAAUAUCUCAUUUUAUUGUGGCAUUUGCAUUUUGAAGGGUUCCUUUUGAUAUUCAACUUGUUUUGUUAUUCUUUUCCUAUUAUUUUGGCAUUUGAUUAGUGCAUGCUGGAUGCUCUGUUAUGUUAUUGUUGUUGUUGUAAUAAGAUUUAGAAUUAGAUUCAGGAUUCUGAAAAUCCUAAGCGUCUCAUUUCAUGUAAAUUUUGAUGGGGAGUUACUGAAAAUUUCACUACAGCCCCCAAUUGGGUGGUUCUAAUGCUUGUGAUUAUGUCUUAUAAAAUAUUGUGAUGUUUUCCUGAGGCUUGGAUUUGGUCUUUGGUUAUUGUCAUUUUUUUCCACUCUGUAAUUUGUAGGCAGAAUGGUCCUCUCUUACAGCUUAUUUUAGAAAAAAACCAAAAAGAAGUCAUCCCAUUGCUAAUUGUUAUGCUCUAGGGCAGACUAGGUGGAUUAAAUUUAGUUGGGAAUUUUUAAUUGAACCAGAUCUUUGGAAUUUAGGAUGACAUUUGAUAUUGGUCUAGAAUAUAAUUUGAAAAUUCAAAUUUGUAGCCGUGGUGUUUUAAUUGCUUUUCGGGCAUCAUUUUCAUUAAUGGUGACAUUAACUACUGUUAAAACGUUUUGGGCGAAGAUUCUGAAACCUUAGAAAGUUUUUGAUGAAUGUUUUACAAUGUUUAAAAACUUGGACUGGUGGUUUGACUCGUAUCUGUGGGUGACUGACGGAGGUAACAUCGAAGCAAGAUACACAUCUAGAGCUGCUGAAUUGUACCAGCAAUUACUUUCAAAGGAAGUUGCCUAGAGCUUGACAGAGGACCCAUCUUCUGCUAGAUCACCGCUUACUUCUCCAAAAAAUCAAGCAGUAUAUGGUCUAUCUCAUGUGAAGUUUACUGGUACAUCCGAAAGAAAAUGAGGUUGCUGAUAAACAUGAGGCAUCUGAAGUUACUGCCUCACCAAAAGUUCCUUCCCAUCCAGUGACCAGUACCAUAAAAAUGCCCAUUGGUGCAAGAAAGGGAAGUAAGACGGGAGGUAUUGGUGCCCAGAAGCUUACUACAAAGGUCGAAUUGUUCUUUAGCCUACAGUAAUGCAAAAGUUUUCCAUUUCUAAAGAUGACCGUUUAGCUUUAAUCCUGACUCUUUUCUUGAUUCAUUGGUGGCAUUAUUUGUAGUUAAUGAAUCAACUGGAUAAUGUUGGAAUUUGUAAAGCUAUGAUGUUAUGAAUUGAUUUAUUGUCUGAUGCCUAUUCAAUUUGAUGCAGCCAAGUGAAAGUCUUUACGAUCAGGAGCCAGAAGAACUGGCUCUUGUUGUGAGCAUGCAGAACUGGAUCAUCCACUAAUGCCAGCGCAACACCAUCUAUUGGCUCAUUGUUUCCUUCACGCUUUGAAUAUGUUGUGAGCAUGCCGUCUUCCGUGCCCAAUUUUGGUGGUACACAAUUACUUAACCAUGUUUCUCCACUUAAAUCAAGCAGCUUAUAUGCUGUUCUGGAAUUGACAGUGGAAUCAAGAAAAUGGCAAGUACCACUUACUCCAAAGUUCAGGUAAUUCUUUAUUGGCUAUUCAGGUUUGGUAGAUUAUGGGGUUCUUCAAACGUUUACUAUGCAUAUUUGCAACUUGGUUACAGGGAUGGUACAUGUCUACAUAUUGGUUGUUGAGAAGUCUUGGUUCUCUCUCUCCCUCUGUCCCUCCCUCCGGAUGCUACACACACACACAUGAUAGAUAAAUAAACCUUUUGACACAGACAAAUGUCAUUCCACAAGCUCUCUCUAUCUCUCUCUCUCUCUCUCGCUCUCUCCACACACACAUAUGUCAGUGCACUCAUUCUAUCUUUCACUCUCUCUCACUCUCACUCUUUGUCUCUCUCUACACUCACACAAUAGAUAAAUAGAAAGAUUGGCGCAUGUGUCAGUCCACAAGCAACCAAAAUUUGAUUAAUAUGCACACUUAUUGCAGGCAAAUUAGGAGUACGAAUUCGGUGAGGGGUUUGAUCACAAAUGGGAUCACUGAGGUAUACGUACUCUUGUGGACUUUAGGUGUCAAAUUUGUCCCAAGUAUAAACUUGGUGAUAAGAAAGUGCAUUAAGAGAACCGCAAUUGCAUGAGGACUGGCUUCUCUUAUCGGAGGUCUUUACUGAAGGUUUCUGUGCCAUUUGGGAUUCAUUUAGGGAUCAGUUGAGAGGCAGACUGUUUGUCCUAUAGCGGUGACCAAUGUUUGAGAGUGACAUGUGGGCACCAAUGUGUUUUUGGGAACCUGAGUCAGAGCAUUCACAAUAUCAGUGCCACAAAGGGGCACUUUUGCUCCCACAUGUUGUCCACUAAAUGCAUGACCCAUGUUGGGCUCUUGUUAUACUGUAUUGGGUUUUGGAUAAGUGUUGAUACCAUCAUUUAGGUACCUGCAAAACGUGGCAAGAUGUUACAAUUGCAGGUGCUGGUGCAAUUUCGGGGUUUGUGCUGGUGCACCCAUUUUUGCUUGGCCAGGGGUGUGCUUUCAGCCUUUGUCUACAAUCGAUAUAAUAUUUUUAAAAGCAUUUGGUGGAUUCAUUGGUAAUGGCAGGUCCAAAUAUUGAUAUGUAUGGAUUUCAUUUCAUCUGUUUCAUUAGGCAUCUAGAGCCUUUAUCUUGCACGAUGAUUCCAUGACAUGGGUUACAACUUGACAGAAGUGCAAAUUAUUUCUGAAAGAACUCCUCCUGGAUCUAAAGAAUAGUUCUCCCAAUGGUGUGAAUUGAUGAGGUUAGGAAGUCAACUUCCAUAAUCUAUAGUCUUAGAAACGGUCGUUAUACAAACAUAUACUAGUUCUCCAUUCCAAAUACCUGGCUUAAGUAGGGCUUGUCACACCUGAUGCUCAUCAUAUUGGAGAAUAGCUAUCGUACUGUUGCCUUUGGAAACACCGCUUAGCCCUGCUUGUGCUUGCUUAGAAGCUAUUGAUUAGGUCCAUUGUUAUUCGAUUUCCAUUUUGCCACACAGAUUGAGUUUUAGGUUCCCCAACGACAAAGAUCACCAUGUCUUUUACAUUCAAUGGGAGUUGCAUAUCCUUAACUUUUGAGGAUUGGAAAUUAUCUUUCCUUAGACAGAUGUCCUUCCUUAUCCUCUAUGAUAUAACGGCAUGGUUUUCUUUUAGUGCUUCCUUCAUAUUUAGUACCGUUUUAAGUGUUAAUUCUCUGUAACAUGCGGAUAAUUUCUUAUUAUCAAGGUGCUUGUUAACCAUCCUUUUUUGGAAUAGUCUGCAAAGGAAGUCCCACCCCACUUUAGCCAAUUUAGAUGAUUCAUGUGUUCUUUAUCCUUGUUUACCGUAGUUGUUAAUGGAGUUUAGGUUAAAUUUUUUUUUCAAAUUUCCUGUCCUGCAUAACCAACCCUAGAAAAAGCUAUCUUAGAACGUAACCAAAAGAUCCUACACCUUAGGAACUAUGAGGUUUAUACCCCUUUCCCAUGUUUAAAUAUAUGGUUCGUAACUUAGGAGCGCUUACCUGUUUUUUAUCUUCUUAACUUCUGUAGAAUUGACAUGUGAGGGCGUACCUGAUCUCUGGUGUUGCUCAAUUAAAUUAUGUAUAGCUUUACAAAUUUUUAAAAAGUGACUGUAGCCUGUUGUUUAUAUUAGCCGUAAUAUAUUGUUGUUUUGUCCUCUUCAAUUGGAGCUCUAACAAUUUUGCCUACCGUUAGAACAGAUAUUAAGCAUUUCUUCCCUUGGAUGACUUUGUCAGUGCCGUUUUUGUUACAAUAAUCCUUGCAAUGUGUCUAGGCUGUUGUUUCCAUCUUUUGAUGUUUACAUUCAUGACUGCAGGUUGAGGAAACCAACGAAGCCUAACUAAAAUUUUCUAAUGCAAAAUCUAUUUCAUCAACUAAGUUCUUUGGGGAUCAAAACAAAGCCAGUGAUGCUUCUGCCCAAAUCUCCUUGCGAAAGUUCUCAGUAUGCUCUCUCUCUUCCUCGUCCCCUCCCUGUGUGUCUGCGUGACUGUGCGUCUGUGCGUGUGUUUUACAUAUCACGCACUCACUCACAUGCAUACACCCAUAUCUACACAUUCAUAUUGACGUAUUAAAUAGACUUUUUUUGCACACCCAUAUAGUGAAAACUGACCCGUGUGACAGACUUUUGUAACUCCACUGAUCAACUACAAGUAUUCCAUGGCCCUUCCAAAAAAAAAAAAUGUUUUUUCUUGAUUUUAAGGAACUCCCCUCCUUGUUGGAAUUGGUUGUUGUAGGUGUUUUUUUGCUAAAAGAUAUUAUAUUCCCGUGGGAGUAGAAUGUCUAUUAGCUCCCUCAGGUACAACCCCGCUUAGAAUUAGUUUUAGUAACACAAAAUUUGGGGAUGUAACCCCUUCAUUCCAUAGAUUAAAAAAAAUCCAUAUCAUACCCACUAUGAAAAAACAAUGUCUAGAGAUUGCAUAGAGACUAUCCAUUUUUUAGAUGGUUAGGUCAGAGUGUUAGAAAACUCAAAUUUGAUUUUUUUUUGAGAAUAAUCAUCUAGUGACUCUUUAGUGGUUCCCAAUGCUAUGUGUAGAGCUCGACAUCCAUAUCUAUUGCUGAUCUUUUUGGACAUAACACGGAUGAUCCUAGCCUUGAUUUGUCUGCAACUGAUCUCAUCAAUCGGAUUGCGUUCUAGGUACUUCUUCAUUAGCCAAACUCAUCCCGAUAGAUACCAUACUCGUCAUAAAGCUAGAAAUUUUUAGAAAGCUAAUGAUUCAUAGUUCACAUAGCAUAAUUUUUUACUUCUUUUCUUUGUUUUUUGAUUCCUUUGGGGAACACUAGAGAUAGCUUUAUUUUCAGGAGUUAUUAUUUAUUCUAGGGCCUGUUUCUAUGUUUUACUGUCUUGUAUAUAUUAGAUCUUUCAAGAUUUUAAGAAAAUUCCACAGCCCCCAACUUCUUGAUGGUCAUUUUGUAUAUGAAGUUUAACUGCUGAAACAAUCGGGUGGCUUAUUCGCUCAGCCAUCAUCAUUGAACCUUAUCCCGACUAUUUGGGAUCGAUUAGCUUCUUCUCUCCAUGAUUGUUAAUGUGCAACAUGCUCACUGCAAUCUUUGAAUUGUCCGGCUCCCCAAAAAACAAAGAUUAAAUGCUAUUGUAAAUAAAUCUCAAGGCCUCUAUGGUAUUCUGGAAACUACUGUUGUGUUAUAAAUACUUCUAAAUUAUGAAUUUUUGUCUUUCCUUAAGUAUUCAUGCUGUCAAUCCUCCAUAUUAUUCUCCAUCUAGUUAGCGUUCAAAAGGUUUGAUAUGCUCCUCGUUAUGAAUUUGGUUUUGCUCCAUGGAAUAAUUGUAAAGCUCUACUAUGCACAAAGGAAUUGCUUCGAACUCCCUCCUUAGGGGCGGCAAAGCACUCUUGUUGUUUGAGAGUGCAUCGCAAGAGCAAAAAAGCCUUAUAUGCGUGUUUGUGGGUCUGUAAUGUAUGUAAUGUUUGUAUGUGUGUAUGUAUGUAUGUAUGUAUAAGUCUUGCGGCAUGCUCAACUGAGUCUUUGCCCUAAUCAUGGAAGGGUCGAUAUUGUUUUGGUCAUUUUAAGGAGUGCAUUACUGGUGUACUUUGAACAUUUAAUGUUUCUUAUGUAAUAUGGAUGUUCUUAAGAUUCUGAAUUUUGUAAUUUUGUUUUCUAUGUUAUGCCUGAUUUGUACAAUUUAAAUGAUUAUGUUCUGCUCAUGAUGUAGAACAUCAAAGAAUGGGAAAUUUACAACCUCACCCCUCCUCUCCACUAGAUUUCAAGAAGCACCUCCCAAUUACAACUCCUGCAUGCAAUGCCUGAACUCCCCUUCCACAUCUCAAAACAACCAUUCCUACGAUUACAUUAUGUUUUCCUUAUUUUCUUCUAAGUUACAUUCUGAAUAUUAUUCUUCCUAAUAAGUCCUAGGGCCUCAAUCCUUGAAACGCACUCUCUAUUUUCUAACGUACUGUUUGUGUGUGUAUAAGCCUCCUUGCCGUCUCAAUCUGUCUCACAGUUUCUCUCUCUAAACAUUUGCUCUCAUUCUCUCAUAUGGACUCCCUCUGUCUCCACCCCUUAUUCCUCUCCCUCACUCUCCAACACACCUGCCUCUACCCUCACUGUAAUAAUUUGUGGUUUUUUGGGAGAUGGGUUCUGUUCUAAGAAAAAGAAGAAUUUGGGUUUUUUGGGAGAUGGCUGCUUCUAUUCUGAUAAGAAGAAGAAGAAUCUGGGUUUUUGGGGAUGUGGGUUCUUUUGAUUUAAGAAGAACACAAUGAUCUUGAAUGCGGCAAUUGAUAGUGGAAAAAAUGAUUCUUUUAGGAGAUGGGCUUGUUAGUUAAUAAAACUUGGAUCGAUUUAGGAAGGUGGACACUAAGAAGGGAUUUGACUGUGGAUUAGAGUUGAAAAGAUGAUGGUAUACUUUGAACUUGAAGAAAGGGAAAGUUGCAGGGAGCUUUUGCAUAAAUGACUCUUUUGUUGGGAAAGUUGUAGGGAGCUUUUGCACUAAUGCUCUUUCGCAGGCUUUCAUCUCAUGCUUUAACCCAACAUCUGUUUAUAAUAACCAAAAUGCAAUCUAAUCCCAUUCAUCUACCCAUUUCGUUCUCUCUCAUCCAUUGAGUACUUGCAGUCUGGCACACGAGAGAGAGAGAGAGAGAGAGGGAGAGAAACCCAAAUUAUAAAGAGUGAGUGGGUGAGAGACCCAAUUAUAGAGAAUGAGCUAGAGUGAAAGAGAAAAGGCGUCCUCUCUCUCUCUCUCUGAGAAAUUGAAAUGGAGAGAAGGAAGAAAGAAGAGGAAGAGAGAAGGGUGGGGGGGCAGAUAGUUUUUUCACUUGAGGGCAUUGUGUGGAUUCACGUUUUUUAUUUCACCUUAAUCAAAAGAUGAGCCCAUGGAUGAGCUUAUUCUGAGAGUUAGGUCUGCCUGAAAAUUGUUGUAGAAAGUUAUUUGGGCAGCUGAGAUUUGAUUUCCAUUCAAAGUUUUGGCUGUUUCCAAACUGGGAGGGUGGCAUGAAAUCUUUUGGUUCCUUCAAUCGACACAAUCUUAUGGGUUUCUUCAAAUGAGGAAUCAGACAGUCACUCUCUUGUUUUUUCUAGAUAGAGGAGUGAAAGAAAGGGUCUGGGGAUUUACGGGAAUAAAUGAAAAUUAUUGGGAUUUUGUAGAAAAAAUUGAGUCAUUUCAUUGGAGUUGGUAUGGAAGGAGGUGAUUAUAGGUUUAACUGGGUGGUGGGGCCGUAUGCAGCUUUUGGGAUAAGGCGUUUUUUUACACUAGAGUCUAUAGUGUAAAUUUCCCUAAGAGAAGGUGGUCAUUUUAAGUUGAACUUGUUUCCAUCUUGCCAGUGCUUUUUAGCUUGAAUGUCUCUCAUAUUUUUGAAUCAGAGUGAAUAUUCAGUUUUAACUAGCUGACUAUAGAUAUCAAUAUUAUUUUUUAAAUUUUCUGAUACAUUUUAUUGUGAUGUUAUUUUCUUUAAAUAUUUUCACUUGCCUGAACUUAUGUGAUUUCUCUAGAUUUUUUGUUGUAUCUGUCAUUUGGUUAAGCGCAUGUCCUAUAAUUGUAACUUGCAAUUCGGCUGCAUCACUGUUCACGCACAAAGUUAACUCUAAACAUGAAGAUGGUUUUGGGCCCAAGUAACAAGCCUUAGAAGUCAGCUUUGAAUAUUGGCAUUUUUACUGAUCCACGUGGCUAUGCUCAGACUUCACUGCGUAGGUUGAUGCUAAUGAGUACAUCCUACAUAUGGAAUUCAUCAAUAGAAAAUAAUGAGAAUUUCUUAAAAUUAAUAUAUAUAUAUGUAUAUAUAUAUAUAUAUUAUAGAGUAAUGAUCCUAUGAGACCCUCCCACUCCCAUGUGUGUAGGACCCCAAAGGAUCACCAUUAAAUUUGGCACAGAUCUCUCAAAACGUCAAGUCCCACACCAUUUGAUAACUUUUCUAAAGAUCUAUGUGAAAUUUAAUGGUGAUCCUACACACAUAGCUGUGGGAUGGUCUCAUAGGAUCAUUACUCAUAUAUAUACAUAUAUAUAGAUAGAAUUUUUAAACUAAGAGGCAUUUAUGAUAUUCGUAGCUUAAGUGUUUUAAGAUUUCCAUUUAUCGAUCUCUGUUCUUUACAUUAGUUGGCAAUGUUUUUGUUUUAACUCAAAGACAAUACUUUGGGGCAAGGGGUGAAAUCCGUCGACUAUCAGAUAUUUGUCGAUUUUCCUUGAGACUUUCUUGGUUUCAUUUUUAAUUCUUAAUGAUUUUGCUGACAUUAUGGAUUGGCGUUUCUUUUCAAAAUUUUAAGCCAAAGAGUAUUCAUGUCUCGAUUUUUAAUGUAUCAUUAUUUCCUUUUCAGUUCUUUGUACUAUUGACUCGACUUGGGAAGUUGGGGUGAAAUCCGUAGAUCCCCAUUAACUGGUCAAUUUUCCUACUGAUUUUCUAUGUUUGAUUUGAACUUAUCCACUAUUUGUUUAAUCGUUUGGUUGAUAAUUUUUACAAAUUUUAAGCCACAAAGAUAUUGGUGGUCGAUAUUUUUAACUUUCCCUUGUUUUUGUCGCAAUGUCUCGCACUAAGACAUUCGCAGCUUAAGUGUUUCAAGAUUUCCAUUUAUCGAUUUCUGUUCAUUAUUUUAUUUAGCAAUAAUUUUGUUUUAACUCAAUGACGACACUUCGGGGCCAUGGGUGAAAUUCGUCGACCUUCAAAGAUUUGUUGAUUUUCUUGGCGACUUUCUUUAUUUCAUUUUAAAUUACUCAUAAUUUUACUGACUUUAUGGAUCGGUGUUUCUUUUAAAAUGUUUAAGUCAAAGAGUAUUCAUUACUUGGUUUUUAUUGUAUCAUUGUUUCCUUCUCGGUUCUUUGUAUUAUUGACUUGACUUUGGGGGCAGGGGUGAAAUCCGUAGAUCCCCAUUAACUUGUCAGUUUUCCUAUUGAUUUUCUUUGUUUGAUUUGAAAUUAUCCACAAUUUGUUUAAUCUUUUAGUUGAUAUUCAUUUUUAAAAAUUUUAGGUCAAAAAGUAAUUCGUGGUUGAGAUUUUUAACGUAUCGUUUUGUUUGUCAUGGUUAUUUGCAUUGUCUGGCUCUAGGAUAUUCGUGGCUAAGUGUUUUACAAUUUCCUUUUAUCCAUCUUUUUUUUUUGCAUUAUUUGGCAAUAUUUUGGUUUUAACUCAAUGACAAGACUUUGGGGCCAAGGGUGAUGAAAUCCGUCGACCCCCAGAGAAUUUUCGAAUUUCCCAUAGAUUUUUUUUUAUUUCAUUGUAAAUUCCUCAUAACUUUACUGACUUUAUGGAUCAAUGUUUCUUUUUCUGACUGGGUUUUUAAUGUAUCACUAUUUCUGUCUCAAUUGUUUGUAAUAUUUACUUGACUUUGGUGGCUGAGGUGAAAUUCGUAGAUGCCCAUUCAAUUGUCAAUUUUUCUAAUGAUUUUCGUUGUUUUAUUUGGAAUUAUCCACAAUUUGUUUAAUCUUUUAGUUGAUAUAUCUUUUUAAAAAUGUUAGGUCAAAAAGUAAUUCAUGGUUUUGAUUUUUAGCAUACCUUUUUGUUUGUCGGUGUUCUUUGCAUUGUCUGGGUCUAGGAUAUUCGUGGAUUAGUGUUUUAAAAUUUCCAUUUAUCCAUCUUUGUUAUUUGCAUUAUUUGGCAAUAUUUUGAUUUUAACUCAAUGACAAAACUUUUGGGCCUGGGGUGAAAUCUGUCGACCCCUAGAGAUUUGUCGAAUUGCCUAUAGACUUUUUUUAGUUCAUUUUAAAUUCCUCAUAAUUUUGCUGACUUUAAGGAUCGAUAUUUCUUUUCAAAAUUUUAAGCCAAAGAGUUUUCAUGAAUCAGUUUUUAAUGCAUCAUUAUUUCCUUUUCAAUUCUUUGUAUUAUUGACUCGACUUGCGGGGCAGGGGUUAAAUUCGUAGAUCCCCAUUAACUGGUCAAUUUUCCUACUGAUUUUCUAUGUUUGAUUUGAACCUGUCCACUAUUUGUUUAAUCUUUUAGUUGAUACUUUUUAAAAAAUUUUAGCCACAAAAAUAUUGGUGGUCGAGAUUUUUAACUUACCCUUAUUUUUGUUGUGGUUCUUUGCAUUGUCUCGCACUAGGAUAUUCGCAGCUUAAGUGUUUUAAGAUUUCCAUUUAUCGAUUUCUGUUCAUUAUUUUAUUUAGCAAUAGUUUUGUUUUAACUCAAUGACGACACUUCAGGGCCAUGGGUGAAAUUCGUCGACCUCUAGAGAUUUGUUGAUUUUCCUGGCGACUUUCUUUAUUUCAUUUUAAAUUACUCAUAAUUUUACUGACUUUAUGGAUCGGUGUUUCUUUUAAAAUGUUUAAGCCAAAGAGUAUUCAUUACUAGGUUUUUAUUGCAUCAUUUUUCCUUCUCGGUUCUCUCUAUUAUAGACUCGGCUUUGGGGGCAGGGGUGAAAUCCGUAGAUCCCCAUUAACUGGUCAAUUUUCCUACUGAUUUUCUUUGUUUGAUUUGAAAUUAUCCACAAUUUGUUUAAUCUUUUAGUUGAUAUUCAUAUUUAAAAAUUUUAGGUCAAAAAGUAAUUCGUGGUUGAGAUUUUUAACGUACCGAUUUGUUUGUCAUGGUUCUUUUCAUUGUCUGGGUCUAGGAUAUUCGUGGUUAAGUGUUUUAAAAUUUCCUUUUAUCCAUCUUUUUUCUUUGCAUUAUGUGGUUUUUGUGGACUGCAUGUCGGAUGCUAUGUAAUGUUAUUGUUGUUGUUGUAAUAAGAUUUGGGUCAUAUCAAAUAUUGUGACCUGAGGCUUGGAUUUGGUCUUUUGGUAAUUAUCAUUUUUUCCCACUCUAUCAUUUGCAAGCAAAAUGAUUCCCUCUUAAAGCUUAUUU
rnacentral:lncRNA from 1 species